GAUGAACGCUGGCGGCGUGCCUAAUACAUGCAAGUCGAGCGAACGGACGAGAAGCUUGCUUCUCUGAUGUUAGCGGCGGACGGGUGAGUAACACGUGGAUAACCUACCUAUAAGACUGGGAUAACUUCGGGAAACCGGAGCUAAUACCGGAUAAUAUUUUGAACCGCAUGGUUCAAAAGUGAAAGACGGUCUUGCUGUCACUUAUAGAUGGAUCCGCGCUGCAUUAGCUAGUUGGUAAGGUAACGGCUUACCAAGGCAACGAUGCAUAGCCGACCUGAGAGGGUGAUCGGCCACACUGGAACUGGGACGCGGUCCUGGCUCCUACGGGAGGCAGCAGUAGGGAAUCUUCCGCAGUGGGCGAAAGCCUGACGGAGCAACGCCGCGUGAGUGAUGAAGGUCUUCGGAUCGUAAAACUCUGUUAUUAGGGAAGAACAUAUGUGUAAGUAACUGUGCACAUCUUGACGGUACCUAAUCAGAAAGCCACGGCUAACUACGUG
rnacentral:rRNA from 1 species